rnacentral:lncRNA from 1 species
AUAAUUCAGACAGUCCACACUGUGAAAUUGACAGAAUAUGGGUAUGCGAAGUUCUGUCCUGUAUGUGAAAUAUUCCACAAUUCAUUGAUAAAAUGUUCCCCUCCUCUUGACCCUGUCUCCUUACUUUCUGUAAGUUUAACCCAUUCCACUCACAACACGACCAGCAUUCAGAAUUGUUCUUUUCUGCGUCCUAGGAGAUUCUCGGUAUUACUAGAGUUUUGUCCCAGUGAUUACCUGCCUGAGGUUAUG